CCAGACAAGAAAGGACAAGUAAUUAAAUGCAGUAAUGAAUACUAUCAGGUCCCUAGGAUAGUUUGAUUACCCAAGAGAAUAAACUUUUGAACUCCCCCAUACACAUUUAAAUUUAUUCCAACAGUUAAGACCAUACGUUCUGCCGAUUUGCUUGACCAUGUUAUGGAUUUUGCAGGGUGAAUGUUGGUCAACAGUCCACUUUGUUACAAGAUAAACUAAAAUUUCCCACCCGACUCCAAAGUCACUUGCUUAGGAUUGCUUUGGGCUGCCCAUUGAAGUAUAGCAUGGUACCGCAUCGACUUCUGGUUCUAAACUUGACAAGCCUGUUCGUUGUCCCAAGCCUUGAGUGUCGUAAUGCGGUCAUUCUGCUUUUCCCAAUCAGGUGAUGUUCUUGGUACUGCUGCUACGGUGGACAUUUUCUUUGAAAGGUCUAACGGUGAAAUUUGCUCCUGUUUUAUUUUCCAAGUCAUUAGGAACAACUCUUAUGGUGGUAGAAUAUCAUCGUCAACGCUGUUUCGAGACAGAGUAUAAUUUUCGUAGUGGCUUUCAUCUGCAUAAAAGGAUCCAAUCCAAUUCCAGAAAUUGAUUUUGAAUUAUACCAGAUGAGGUAUUGCAACAGGAGUUGGAGAACGAUGCGACUCCUCUGAAUACUGAACACGUAACUGACUACAUGCGAUACAAUGGAGGUAAUGGCAUUGUCACCACUGUUAGGGGUUAUGCUUUUCCUUGGUAGCCAUCACGCUUCAAAUAUAGAUCCUGUUUGAUGUAAAAACUUUAUAUUUGCAUCUUAAGUUAAAGGUUGUUAAAUAAGCUCUUGGAUUCCGUUUCUUUAGUGUUUAUGCUCAAAGACAUCAUGGUGUUAUGCAUUGCAA